AACGAACGUUGGCGGCGUGCCUAACACAUGCAAGUCGAGCGCGGGCAGGACCUCGGUCCUGUUCCGAGCGGCGCACGGGUGAGUAACACGUGAGUAACCUGCCUCGAAGUUUGGGAUAACCGCCCGAAAGGGUGGCUAAUACCGGAUAAGCCCCCACUGGCACAGGCCAGAGAGGGAAAAGACCUUGGCGCUUCGAGAUGGGCUCGCGUCCCAUUAGCUAGUUGGUGAGGUAACGGCUCACCAAGGCGAAGAUGGGUAGCUGGUCUGAGAGGAUGAUCAGCCACACUGGAACUGAGACACGGUCCAGACUCCUACGGGAGGCAGCAGUGGGGAAUAUUGCGCAAUGGGCGAAAGCCUGACGCAGCAACGCCGCGUGGGUGAAGAAGGUCUUCGGAUCGUAAAGCCCUGUCAGGAGGGACGAAACAAAUGACGGUACCUCCAAAGGAAGCACUGGCUAACUCCGUGCCAGCAGCCGCGGUAAAAGUCACAUGUGUUG
rnacentral:rRNA from 1 species